rnacentral:rRNA from 1 species
ACGUAGGGGGCAAGCGUUACUCGGAUUUAUUGGGCGUAAAGAGAAUUAAGGCGGUUAUGUAAGUCAAUGGUGAAAUACCUAGGCUCAACUUAGGAAUUGCCUUUGAUACUGCGUGACUUGAGGACAGGAGAGGAAGGCGGAAUUCCCGGUGUAGCGGUGGAAUGCGUAGAUAUCGGGAGGAACACCUGAGGCGAAGGCGGCUUUCUGGACUGGUCCUGACGCUGAUAUUCGAAAGCUAGGGGAGCAAACAGGAUUAGAUACCCUGGUAGUCCUAGCUGUAAACGAUGGAUACUAGAUCUUGCAUGAUUUUGCUUGGUCGAAGCUAACGCGUUAAGUAUCCCGCCUGGGGAGUACGGUCGCAAGGCUG